AUCGCUUCUCGGCCUGUUGGCUAAGAUCAAAGUGUAGUAUCUGUUCUUAUCAGCUUAUUAUCUGAUACGCCGCACAUUGUGUGGCCAGUAUAUUGAACUGAUUUUUGCAAAUAGAUGGAGUGUUAGGGGCUUGCUCCACCUCCAUCACGGGUCGACCUGGCAUUGCAGUAGAUAAAUGUAAACUCAGGUAAC
rnacentral:snRNA from 1 species